rnacentral:rRNA from 1 species
AGCGAACGCUGGCGGCAGGCCUAACACAUGCAAGUCGAACGAACUCUUCGGAGUUAGUGGCGGACGGGUGAGUAACACGUGGGAACGUGCCUUUUGGUUCGGAAUAACUCAAGGAAACUUGUGCUAAUACCGAAUGUGCCCUUCGGGGGAAAGAUUUAUCGCCAUUAGAGCGGCCCGCGUCUGAUUAGCUAGUUGGUGAGGUAACGGCUCACCAAGGCGACGAUCAGUAGCUGGUCUGAGAGGAUGACCAGCCACACUGGGACUGAGACACGGCCCAGACUCCUACGGGAGGCAGCAGUGGGGAAUCUUGCGCAAUGGGCGAAAGCCUGACGCAGCCAUGCCGCGUGAAUGAUGAAGGUCUUAGGAUUGUAAAAUUCUUUCACCGGGGACGAUAAUGACGGUACCCGGAGAAGAAGCCCCGGCUAACUUCGUG